UGUGUUUCAGAAAAAGAAAUCAUACUCGGGAUUAUGAAUCAGGAAGGAGUGUUGAAGAUGAUCCGGAAAAUGGUGACAUCAGUCCUGGACACUGAAGCUUCUAAUAUCAGAAGAUGAAACUGAACUAUAAGGCCUGAUUUUCAUUCUGAGGUCAGCACUGCUGCCAUUUGACUGAAACAAAAGUGAAGGCAUGCUAGGAACAUGGCAGCUGUUUCACGGCUUUGUAGUAUGUGGGCAAGUAAUGACUGU